rnacentral:rRNA from 1 species
GAUGAACGCUGGCGGCGUGCCUAAUACAUGCAAGUCGAGCGAACAGACGAGGAGCUUGCUCCUCUGACGUUAGCGGCGGACGGGUGAGUAACACGUGGAUAACCUACCUAUAAGACUGGGAUAACUUCGGGAAACCGGAGCUAAUACCGGAUAAUAUAUUGAACCGCAUGGUUCAAUAGUGAAAGACGGUUUUGCUGUCACUUAUAGAUGGAUCCGCGCCGCAUUAGCUAGUUGGUAAGGUAACGGCUUACCAAGGCGACGAUGCGUAGCCGACCUGAGAGGGUGAUCGGCCACACUGGAACUGAGACACGGUCCAGACUCCUACGGGAGGCAGCAGUAGGGAAUCUUCCGCGAUGGGCGAAAGCCUGACGGAGCAACGCCGCGUGAGUGAUGAAGGUCUUCGGAUCGUAAAACUCUGUUAUUAGGGAAGAACAAAUGUGUAAGUAACUAUGCACGUCUUGACGGUACCUAAUCAGAAAGCCACGGCUAACUACGUG